UCCCUCUUAGCUCAGUUGGUCGAGCGCGUCACUAGUAUCUGUUGGAAAUUGUAAAGUGUUAAUGACGAGGUCAGUCGUUCAAAUCGGCUAGCGGGAA